rnacentral:rRNA from 1 species
UGCCAGCAGCCGCGGUAAUACGAAGGGGGCUAGCGUUGUUCGGAAUUACUGGGCGUAAAGCGCAUGUAGGCGGACUGUUAAGUUAGAGGUGAAAUCCCGGGGCUCAACCCCGGAACUGCCUUUAAUACUGGCAGUCUAGAGUUCGAGAGAGGUGAGUGGAAUUCCGAGUGUAGAGGUGAAAUUCGUAGAUAUUCGGAGGAACACCAGUGGCGAAGGCGGCCUUCUGGGCCGUUCCUGACGCUCAGACGCGAAAGCAUGGGUAGCGAACGGGAUUAGAUA